AUGUUAAUGAAGUCGGUAAUUAAUUCGUCGCUUUGUUGUCGGUUCUUAUACUGUAUGUGUAAUCAAAUGUGGCCGUCCUUGGGAUUUACAGCAAUUAACGAAUUACGGGCGCGCGCUCCAGGCAGCCGGCGCUCGGCGGCCCGGCUGGGCGCGCGGCGGGGCCGCCAGCCUCGCAGGUGGCUCUGGAGCUUUGGGCCCAGGCGUCCCCACGAGCCCCGAGCGGCUCCGGGUGUGCCCAGCUCCUCCCGGGCCCUCCGAGACCGCCCCAGGCCGAAGAGACCCGUUGGCUGUCGCGUUCCCAGGAGUGGCGACUCUCUGGGGGCCCGGGCUGGGGGGAGGAGGAAUUCUGCCCAGACUCUGCAGCAGUUCGUAGCAAGCAAGCUUUCUCCUGAGUGUCUCCUGGAAAAGUUGCAAAAUUGCUCUUCACCUGUAAGAACAUGCUUUUUAUCUUCCAGUCUCUUCUUGUCAAUUCGGAAAUUGCAGACAGCCGGGCUCAGGGUGAUGGAUGAAGAGGCAUUCUCCACUGGUGGAAGGCAAACGAUGUACUCUCCCGGCACCUUCAUGUCGAGGCUGUUUGCUUCAUAGCCAGCAAGUGUUGCAGUGGUUCAAUUUAUGGAAACUUGUGAGUUGCAAUUCAUGCACGUCUUCAUUUCUUGAUGAAAUGCAAAGAUCCUCUCUUUAAGUGAGAAAUUUGAUAAAGACUGGAUUUUAAGGAAGCAUCUCCUCCCCCAAAAGGUAGGCUUCCUUUUGAGGAGAUCCCCUUAGAUAGCUGCCUAGGAUGCUAAGGCAAACCUUUGUAUAUACAAAUUUGGGUCAAUGUGUUGACAGGAUGUCAGAUUUGUGUAACUAAUGGAGCUUCAACAUGAAUAUUGAGCUUUAUGCCACUCCAUUGAUGCCCAAAUGACCCCGUAGGUGCCUAUUUGUGCCUGAGGCUACUGGGGUAGAAAAUAGAAGCCCUUCUUGGGAAAACCUGACAAGGUCCACAACCUACCCUUGACCAGUAGUAACUGGUUUUCAGUAACAGCUGAAAAGUAAAUUCAAAGAUACCUGAAUGGAAAAGCAUUGAUGCCUUUCCAUCAAAUAGUCUAUAAUUUCAUGUUGCUGUUAUUCUGCCUCAUAGACUUAUCUGUGAGUGUUUCUGGAAUCUUAACCAUGGAUCAACCAAGAGUUGAGUAAUAAAGAACUAAUCUGGUCAGCUGAUUUGGAGGGA
rnacentral:lncRNA from 1 species